GACGUAGGGCGCGAGCGUUGUCCGGAUUUAUUGGGCGUAAAGAGCUCGUAGGCGGCUCAUUGCGUCAACCGUGAAAACCAGCAGCUCAACUGUUGGCUUGCGGUUGAUACGGGUGGGCUGGAGUUCGGUAGGGGAGACUGGAAUUCCUGGUGUAGCGGUGAAAUGCGCAGAUAUCAGGAGGAACACCGGUGGCGAAGGCGGCAUCCUGGACCGAGAUUGACGCUGAGGCGCGAAAGCUAGGGGAGCAAACGGG
rnacentral:rRNA from 1 species